rnacentral:rRNA from 1 species
AUUGAACGCUGGCGGCAUGCUUUACACAUGCAAGUCGAACGGCAGCACGAAAGAGCUUGCUCUUUUGGUGGCGAGUGGCGAACGGUUGAGUAAUGCAUCGGAACGUACCGAGUAAUGGGGGAUAACUGUCCGAAAGGAUAGCUAAUACCGCAUACGCUUUGAGAAGGAAAGUGGGGGCUCUUCGGACCUCACGUUAUUCGAUCGGCCGAUGUCUGAUUAGCUAGUUGGUGGGGUAAAGGCCUACCAAGGCGACGAUCAGUAGCGGGUCUGAGAGGAUGAUCAGCCACACUGGGACUGAGACACGGCCCAGACUCCUACGGGAGGCAGCAGUGGGGAAUUUUGGACAAUGGGCGCAAGCCUGAUCCAGCCAUGCCGCGUGUCUGAAGAAGGCCUUCGGGUUGUAAAGGACUUUUGUUAGGGAAGAAAAGGAUAGUGUUAAUACCAUUAUCUGCUGACGGUACCUAAAGAAUAAGCACCGGCUAACUACGUG